rnacentral:rRNA from 1 species
UACGUAGGGUGCGAGCGUUGUCCGGAAUUAUUGGGCGUAAAGAGCUUGUAGGCGGUUUGUCGCGUCUGCUGUGAAAAUCCGGGGCUCAACCCCGGACUUGCAGUGGGUACGGGCAGGCUAGAGUGUGGUAGGGGAGACUGGAAUUCCUGGUGUAGCGGUGGAAUGCGCAGAUAUCAGGAGGAACACCGAUGGCGAAGGCAGGUCUCUGGGCCACUACUGACGCUGAGAAGCGAAAGCGUGGGGAGCAAACAGG